UUCAGUUCGAACCGUCGUGGGGUAAGCGCGUCGCAUUUUUGCGAAAAUAUCAACAGAAAUAAAGCCGUGAAUUCAAAUAUAGAACGCGUAAAACACACUCGUGUCAAGGAUCAUUGACGAGAUGUUUAUUUUUAAUUUUUUGCACGUUCAAAACCAACGCACGUUUUGCGAAAAAAAAAAUGGCGGUGUGUUAUAAUUUCGUGGUGUAUAUCAAUUAUGAAAUAGAAGGAAAAUGUACGAUUUGAAUGGAUGACAAUUGCUGUUGAUGCGAGCGGAGCGGGCAGCUGCACAGAUCGCGUUACGGAUGAGGGUACUUGGACAUGGCGAGCUCUCAACAUCUGCGGUGUGAAGAUCUGGAGGAGAAAUGAAUAGGCUAUAUCCAUAUACGCAAGAGUCGAGGACAUUUUAAACUAAUUUAUGUUUUGAGCUUGGAAAUAACUUUAUUAUUGAAAAUUAUAGCUUAUACUAAUAAUUUUGGAUUUACUUAAUAUUAUAAUACACUAGAAAUUUUAAUAUUCGAACUCUAAAAGAAAUCGUAUAAUAUAAGAACGGGUGUCACUUUUAUAUAAUAUAUAUUUUUUCUAUCCCACAGGGUUCCCAUCACAGUCAUUUUCUGCAUUUACACUGUGACAAAUACAACUUCGUCACAUUUGGGAUGCAGGAAUAUGGACCGCGACGUGCACUGCCAUCUGUCGACCAACACAAGAAACAAACCUCGAAACAUGUUCCGGCUACCCGACGCUAGAUGGCGUUGAAGACCGAAUGUACUGUGUCGUGCCCUUGUCAUUCUUCUUGCCUGUGUGUGUUGAUACAACUGGACGGAGAACUGAUAAGGGCAUGACCUUUACAAUGGCUCCACGGCAGCAGAAGAUAGCGCGCAUUUGGAUGAAAUAUAUUGUGUUAUACGCCUUUCAUUUAGUUUUGUAUACAUUGGUUUGUUUGUAGUUAAGUGAAAUUAUAUUCAAACUAAAAUAAUGUUAUAUUAUCAUUACAUAUAAAUUAUUACAUCUUAUUUAUAUGGAAAAGUGAUAUUUAAUUUCUAUGACAGAAAUAUAGUAAAGGUUUAAAUUCUGUUCCAUUACUUAGAUGACUCUAUUACCAAUGACGACACAUUGACUUUAGAUUUCUCCAAACGUCUCUACUUUCCAAAAUAUUGUUUUUCUACUAAUGACUACAUUAAUAAAUUUCAAGUAUAUCCAACUAUACACCUAUUCUCGAACAUUAUUCAAAUUAUUAUAUCAGUCAAGUUCUGAUUACAUUUAACGCCUUUAGAGAAAGACUUCAUUGGUGCUCAAUGCUUACUGAUGUUGCGUAAGAAACUUGUGCAAAAUGUAAUGCUUCUAGAGCCUGUUUAAACUAUCCUUUGUCAGUUUGUGUUAGUACUUAAGUAAAAGAUGUUUUGUUAGAUUGUUUUGUUCCACUGAAUAUAAACAUAUUUAUUUAAAUCAUCUGUAUCUGACCUAAAACUUGACGAAACUUUUCAUCCUUUUCCAUAAUUCAAAGAAGCCUCUGUAUUUAGUUUAAAAUUACUUUAUGUAUAUUUUCUUGUGUAUUUUUUUUGUGUAUUUAUAUAUUUGUAUGAUGUUUUUAUAUUUUCUUUGUUAAUAUGAAGUUACAUAAUACUUUUUAUGCUGUAUUGUUUAAUGUGUAAACGUGUCUACACAGAUGUAAUUAAUUAAAUGAUAAAAUUUAUUAAAUAAACUAUUUUACUAUA